CUCCACCGUUAUAAUUAUCAAGUAAUUAAAACUCUUUCAAUAUCCAUGAGAACACUCGAAUAGAGAACUGAAGAGUCAGAGCUCAUCGAAACCCUAAACUUGCGAUAGACAUCUCCACCGCCAUCUCCGCCGCUGCCUCCGCCGCCAUGGCCGCCGCUAGAGUUCAUCUCCUUUCUGCUUCUGCCAUAAAGCCAUUGAGAUCGAGCCAAGGCAUCACUUUCACCAACGCGUUUCCAAAUCUAAUCGCAACGCCCAAGCCUUUGAGAUCGAGAGAAAGUACCUCUUCGGUCAACUCUCCUCCGCCAAUGACGCUCAUGUUCUCCAUCGGCAUUCUAUCCCUUGUGUACGCUCUUCUUUCCACUCGUUCUCAGUUUCUGGUUCUCCUUCUCUUUUUCCUUUUUAUUCGUUUUCGUUGUUUUUCAUCCGCAAAUUCUGAAUGCUUUGCUAUGUGAUAUAACAUUGUUUCAAAUUAUCAAGCACUCCAAGUGUUUGAUGAAUUGUUUAUUCUCUUAAUUGAAAUUCUGAUAAAUUGAUUUGCUCAUUUUUGAAUUUUGAUUUUGUGAUACUCUUUUAUUUUGAUACUAAUAUUUCGUGAUACUGAUAAAUUGAGAUUCAAGUGUGUUCCCUACAGCAUUGGGUGUGAAUCCAAUGAUCACUGUUCAGGCUAUAGCUUAUUGCACAGCACAAUCUGUUCUUGAAGUUCUUAGAAGGAAAAGGUGUUGAUGAAUUAUAUAAAAAAAAAACUUUUCUCUGCUUCUGUAUCUCCAGUGGUCUAGAAUGAAAAUCUUUGUUCAAAUAACACACGUUGAGAAAAAGAAAAUUGUAAUAACUUUUAAGAGAGUUGUUCAAUCAUUCUGAGUGUUUAGUGUAUUAGUGUUUAUUUUGUCAUAACAUUUUUUAGUUAAAACUUUUGAGGCUUUAAUAGUCAUCUUAAGUUAGUAAAAAGUAGAUUUAGACAACCUUCAUGUCCUUACAUAACACUGAAUAUUUUUUCUAAUCUUAUAUAUUUCAAUGGCACAUAUAUACAGUGAGGGAAACUUGACAUCUAUAUCAAAUUGAAAUUUAAGAUGAUAGUGAUAUACUUUUGGACCAGGUUUAGUAAAAAUUUGAGAAGACCAUGGCAGAUUAUCUUUGAAGCUCAAACAAUACAUUUUCAGUAUCAAUGAACAAGGCAACCACAUGAGUUUAGAAUUCAGAUCUGAUUAAUAACAUAAUUAAUAAAUUGAUUUUAUUUAGAAACAUCUAUGUCGCAUGGUGUUUGUUAAAUAUCAAAUUGGCUACAUCUAUGAUCACAUAAUAAAAAAUUUAUGCAGACUUCAUGAUUUGAAGCAGUUAGGUGAGUCAACUUACUACAUAUGAAUGAUAUUUUGUUAUUAUUACUUCUAAUUCCACUAUUUUGUUAUUAUUACUAAUAUGAUAUGAUAUUUUGCCUAGGAUUACUGCAUGAUGUUGGCCAUGGUCCCUUCAGCCACAUGUUUGAGGGCAAGUUCCUUUCCCGGGUCUUUAAUGGUGACAAAUGGUAAUUCUAUGAUGUGCUUGUUAAUUCAGGUCCUAUAAGAAAAUGUCAGUGAAGAUGAUAGAUUACAUGGUUGAUGAACAUAAUAUUGAUAUUGAUCCUGAACUCCUCAAGAAAGUGAAGGUUAGACCUUAGAUGGUCUAUGCAUCAGUUUGAAAGUGAAGUAUGCUCUCUUAUUUCUAUUUACUAUUCUGUUUUCAUCAUUUAGCCUUUGAGAUGAAGGAUGGAAGAGAGGUACUCUUCUUCUCUAUUAUUUCUUGCUCUCUUUUCAAAUUUUAAUUCUGUUUAUAUAUAAUGUGUGCAGCUAGACUCACAAUUUAAGAAAAGAAACCAUUCAGCAACAAUAUUAAAAUAUUUAAAAAAAUAAAUAUUUGAAUAUCAAUAUUAAUUUGAUAUCAUGUGCAUAAUUUAAGUAUUAAAUUGAUGCAAUUCUCUUUAUUACUAUUAUUAUUUACUAUUUUUUUAAUUAAAACGGGACUUAAGCCGAUGAGAACUAUAAUCAUUUGGGGUAUGGGAAUUUCUCUACAAUCAUUAUCAAUAAUACUCCUAAGGUCCUAUGAAGCAUAUCAACAAAAUGAAAAUUAAAAUUUCUCUCCGAUUCCGAUUCCGAUUCUGCGAAACCUUUUCCAUUCCUACAAAUGAGUGCAGGUACCAUUUGCUUAUUCUAUUCCUCGCCAAAUUUAUUAUUAUUAUUAGGGUUUAAGUAAUUUAUAUAAGCACUAGCUGGAUUUUAAUUGAAGCGCUGGAGGAAUUUUUGCUUAAAUUUAUGUUUCUUCAAAUAUGAAUUUUUUCUUCUAUCGUGUGAAUUUGGUGAAAUAGUGAAGAAAAUGAUUGAUAGUUGGUUUGAUACACUUAUUGAUUAUAAUAGGUGGCGCAUUUGGUGGCAAUAGAGGGCUCUGUCCAGUGCCUCCUGAAAAGGGUAUUUUCCCAUUAGACCACAUGCAUUUAUGUGACCUGGAGAAGAAAGAAUAUUUGGGUUGUCUGAAAACUGCGGGUCACCAGUCUGAAAAAUGCAGGGACUUCUCGAAAAAGUACUUGCAGUGCUGAAUGGAAAAUACAAAAGAUUGGAGCAUAAAGCAGAAGAAAAGGCACAAGCCCUAAAGCAGAUUAGAGAGACAGUGAAUCACAGAAAUCAUAUAGAUGGCAGUGUGAAAUUGAUUGGUACUUCAUUAUUUGGUGUUCCUAAAGUUAAGCAACAAUUUGGUAAACAAUUGAUUGCUUUUUAACAUAGUUUCACUUAUUUUUCCUUGCUAAUAUUGUUAUUUUAUUGUCUUGAAAAUAUUGUUAAUUAGUUGAACAUCAUAUAAUGAUUGUCUUAAAUAUUUACACAA